AACAUGAUUCUCUUUUCUGUGCUGUUGCUGAGCAAUCUCGAUUCUACUCUCUGAGGAAUCCGUUGCCAUUUAUCUUUAACAAUUUGCUGAAAUACUUUUUAUGUAUCCUAUUUCCGGUCAUAGUCCCAGACGAGACGAACAAAGUAGAUUCAAAGAUUAUGGAUUAUAUGAAAUUGAAAAUAAAUAACUUGAGAUGCUUUCGUUAUUCUAAAAGCAUAUAUAGGCUUACUUUAUGGAUUAGCCGCAAGUCUCAUCACCCCAUUAUACGCCGUAGGCAUAGCUAUUCCGCAGUUGAUAUUACCUUAUAGUCUUGCGUCAUCAGAAACUAAACUGAUGUUUCGUUGUUCAACUGUAACCAUCACAACAAGGAAGAAAACCAGACGUCGUUUCUUAUAUAUAUCAUGUGUCUGCUUAGCGAUCGUCGAGUCAACAACAAAAUGGCAGUUUCGUUAUACCGUAUUAUUUAUAGGCUCAUUGUUUGACCCAUACUGAAUAAUAUAGCUGCGGCUGGCUGGAAUGGUACUCCACAGUCCCGAAUGAAGCUAUGCACUGAUUUCCAUGCAUCGUUUUAGAACAAGUGAACUGCUCUUCGGCUGAGCAUGGAAAAACAAAAUGCGGAGGAGGCAUAUUUGAAUUCUAAAUGUAAUUCUCAUGAAAAAAGUUUCGUUGCCAACAUUUUGAGAGAGGUACGUACGUAGUAAUAAGAAGAUUUAUAAAGUUUCAUUAGCGUAUUUGGACCUACAAACUUUUCCUAGACAUUCAUUACAUUGCCAUAACUUCCGUUACAUCUUUCUUAGCAAUGUCAAGUUCUUACGACGUAAUUCGGGUAAAAAAGAGAGAUUAUGAAAGUUCAAUAAGCAAUUUAUUCAGCUAAUAAUUGCGUAGAUCUUUGUCCUUCAAAAAGUUCUCACGAUAAUCUACUGCAAGGGCCUGUCUUCUCUGUAAGUCUAUAUUAUUAUAUGAGCAAUAUCUUCAAGUUCAAGGAGGACAUACGACAAAGUUUAAAAAGUAUGAUUAGAUUUGAAAUUAUUUUCUGGACAGAAGUUAAUCCAAUAAUCCAUUCAUGAUUUCCGGAUCAUUUUUGUUCCACCUAAACGCCAGGCACCUUUUUAUCCGUUUUGCUUGAAUUCAUUAUUGGAUGUUAAACUUGAACUUGAAAAAACCACAUAGUAAUCUCACAUUUGCUGGAAAAGCACAGAUUAAAUUCUUGAUAACAUAAACCUGCAGCACGUGCCUAACUGCGUAGCUUACGCCAACGCAAUCCGCCAUUUACAGUAGCAAAGAGGGGUGGAAAGUAUUAAUCGCGUUAAUAGAAGAGACUCUAGGUAGCCUAAAUUUAAAUGAGGUUCAAAUAGAACGUUUCUAAUCUACUGAUGUAAAGUAAAAAGCUCGUGAUAGUCGUAAAUUGGCAACUGUCGAUCUAUUUUUAUAAAGAAGUAUGAUACUCAUUCAUAUCAUUUGAAUUGAUGCCAUAAAGCGACAGAUUACAAGUCACUGUUAUAAUGCCAACAAAAAGAACAUUUUCAGUUUCAGGCGGUGACUGUAGACAAAUUGUGGUGCUUUAAAAGAUAUCCACGUCGUUCUUUUUCCUUUCCUUUUAUGAAUAAGAAAUCCAAAUCUGAUUUGAAUAUCAAAAGUUCGCUUGGGUGUGAACCGCUUAAAAAAAUCGACUUUUAAAACACAAUCCCGAAAAGCAGAAGCAUGAAGAUGAUGAGAUUCAAUUAUUUCAAGUUUUUAGUAUACCCGAUUGAAUAUUGCAAGAAUUUCAGAUGAGAUACUACUUCUUUUAAUACUUAGACCUAACUGGCUUAAAAUAAAUAAAAUGAAAUACUUGAAUAAAUUAUGCAACCUUUCCUUUAUCUAUUUAGGAUCACUAAAGGUUCCCUAUUCUUUUUUGUCGGAGAAAUUUUUCAGAAACCCAAGACGGGUCUGAAAAUCAUGUCAUAAAAUAAAAUGUUAACUUUUUUCGCACUUUAAAUUUGGAUACCUCAAUAAAAUUGCGAAAUGAUAAAAUAAAUAGUUUACUGUCGGGCAUGGCCAAUGCCAGACUAUUUAUGGUAAUGUGCAGUGGUCUCUCUAUGCGGGGAGUUUAAAGUAGUCAUGAGUGAUUACCAUUCUUGGCAAGUUUCACGAUUUCCGACCAUGCCUCUAAAACGCAAGGCUGAAAAACUUUUCUAGCCGUUCAAUCCAUUGAUCACCUUAAUUGAUGGAUAUACUGAUAGUGAAUGGUGCACGGCGAGGUUACUCACGCUCACUUUUCUGUUCAUUCAUCCGAUCGUUCGUUCACACAGCUUUUUAAAUUCGCCUUGAAUGAUUUUUCAGUAACUUGUAUUUUACUUGGCAAUCCAUCUUUCACUGUUAUAAACAUUAAAAAAAAAAUUACACGGUUUAUCAAUUAGGUGAUUUGCCCGCGGCCGUAUGGCCUAACGGAACCAGAAUAGGACGCAGACUUGUCACGUUCACACCUAUUUAAUAUGUACGGCAGCUGCAGCUUGAAAGGAGGUGAUGCUGUGUGUGUGUUACUCUCUUGUCGGUUACCGACUUUGGCGACCCACUAUGCGAUUAGGAGGUAAAGUCUGUCCCGAAGGUGCUAUCAUUUCGUGCACGUCGUAAAAUUUAUUACGUACUAGUUAGUCCUAAUAUGGAUGAAUGAAUUUUUUUCUCCUCCCUAAAAUAAAGCAGUCGGGAAAAUCCCUCUGUCUGCUUUCCAGGAAAUUCGUUCAACACCUCAUCAGGAGGUAUAAUAUAAACUCAGCAGCAUAUGUUGCUAAUUAUUUAGAUCCUGGAUCAAACAACCGUCAUCUUUGUAGUCCAUACAAUCAAAUUCCAGCAGUACCAUACAACUUAAUAUUUAGAAUAGUUUUUACCGUGUGGGUGGCCUUCGUAUAUGAUUCAUGAUCAAGUCCGAGAUGUGGCAAAUGCUGAUUAAGAACAAGAAAGAAAGUGCACUAAACACACUCCAUCCCGAUGCAAACCUGUAGUGGGUGGAUAAAAAAUCAUUGAUGUGAACUGUUGACCUAACAACGAAAUCCCUUGGAUACAACAACAGUGACCAUAUGACCGCUAUCUUGAAACCUAAUGCUCUUGUUGGAUAUGUCGGCAUCUCGGGGAGACCCGCAAUCAUCCGCCAAAACAAAAACUUCAAAGCCCCAUGAAGAUGGUAACUCGGUACUUCUGCUGCAGGUCAUAUCAGGCCUCUCACUUUCUAAUGUUUUUCUUUUGUUUGUUUUUCCGGACGGAGGGAGGGGGAGUUUCAAAUCCGUUCAGUCGCUAACCUUAUCACUUAUAUAGAUGGUCCAGUUCUUUAAGUCGUUGAGCCAAAGAAGACCUCUGAGGACAAACACUGCAGCACUGGAACCCACCAGCAAAUAUUUCUCCGCUGGAAAGAUUCAUCCCACGCUGAAGCCCAGAGGUUUGCGCGCGCUUACCAUCCAGCGGCCUUAUGGGACUGUCUACACCUUUUUGGAGGAGUCAACGAUGGGAGGGAGCUGUUGAACUAUAAAAGGGGAUCUCGUCGGAGUCAACGUGACAGACACCUUCUACCUGUGAUUGGUUGUACCACUCAAAUAGGGUGAACUAUUUCAAUUUCGUGUAAGUUAUUACAUUGAGCUUCGUCCCUUCCGUUUGACAUCAACCAACUUUCUCCGCACCGCAAUUGAUCAGGAUCACUACACUUCAAGCACUUCAACUUCAAAUCAACUCCGAUCCGUGGGCUUCAACAAACAAAAGUGCGUAUCACUUUUUUUCCUGUUUAUUCAGGAAUUUUGUAAUAACCUGUUCGAGAGAGAGAGAAGCAAUGCCCUUAUGGCGUAUACUUAACUUGAUUCGAAUUUUUACCGGAAUCUGCUUUUUGUUUUGCUGAUCUAAAAAUAAAUUUGUAGUAAAAAAAGAGAAAACUAGCUGAAUAAUCUCUCGAAGAGACAUUCUCUUAGCAAUAAACUUCCUAACAACAAAGUCCAGCAUAUCUUUUAUUGGUGCGUUGAAACAUGGCCCACACCUUUUGGCUCUGGCCUGUCUACCAGCAGGUGCAUGGGGGAGAAACUGAGAGACUUCAAUUUUCAACCAUUCAAAAGAAGGCAUUUAAAGAGAACAAUACAAUAAGAUGGGGUGACGGGGAACUAAAUUCAACCUCGUGGGUCAACAACAGUUUUCGUUGUAAUAGCUGUAAAAAAAGGGUCUUAUGCAAUCGCAUUCCGACAAGACAUUCCCAUAAUAAAAAAAAAUCCAAACUUGAAUCAAAGGCUACCGGCACUUACAUAUUAAACGCCAGGCAAGAAGGUUCGAGCUAUUUUUAUCCGAUUUAUGUCUAUCAGAGAAGUAAUAAAUCAUAGCAUGCUGGGGCGAUAAGGCGCAGUAGAAACUAGCAUGGUUUAUAAAUAGGGUCAGGGAACUCCAUAUCAGAUCGUCGUUUUAAGUCACUCACAGGCAAAAAGUCGUCUUUAAAGAAUAGAUAACACGACAGUCGGCACGCAGAGAAUUAAAGAGUUUCCAAUCAUUAAGGAAGGACGAGACAGUCGCAUUAAUGUCUUACGUGGAAGGGAUGGCUGAAAAAGGCGCCGAUGAUGCAACACACUAUUGUGUCUAUAAAAGGCACAGCUAGAAGAACUUGCCUUUCGAAUUUUGAAAUACCGGCACGUGCGCAACGAAAUGUUCAUGCAAGAAA